CCUACGGGUGGCAGCAGUGGGGAAUAUUGGACAAUGGGCGAAAGCCUGAUCCAGCCAUGCCGCGUGUGUGAAGAAGGUCUUCGGAUUGUAAAGCACUUUAAGUUGGGAGGAAGGGCAUUAACCUAAUACGUUAGUGUUUUGACGUUACCGACAGAAUAAGCACCGGCUAACUUCGUGCCAGCAGCCGCGGUAAUACGAAGGGUGCAAGCGUUAAUCGGAAUUACUGGGCGUAAAGCGCGCGUAGGUGGUUCGUUAAGUUGGAUGUGAAAGCCCCGGGCUCAACCUGGGAACUGCAUCCAAAACUGGCGAGCUAGAGUACGGUAGAGGGUGGUGGAAUGUCCUGUGUAGCGGUGAAAUGCGUAGAUAUAGGAAGGAACAUCAGUGGCGAAGGCGACCACCUGGACUGAUACUGACACUGAGGUGCGAAAGCGUGGGGAGCAAACAGGAUUAGAUACCCCGGUAGUC
rnacentral:rRNA from 1 species